rnacentral:rRNA from 1 species
AGUGAACGCUGGCGGUAGGCCUAACACAUGCAAGUCGAACGGCAGCACAGUAAGAGCUUGCUCUUACGGGUGGCGAGUGGCGGACGGGUGCGGAAUACAUCGGAAUCUACUUUUUCGUGGGGGAUAACGUAGGGAAACUUACGCUAAUACCGCAUACGACCUACGGGUGAAAGCAGGGGAUCUUCGGAACUUGCGCGAUUGAAUGAGCCGAUGUCGGAUUAGCUAGUUGGCGGGGUAAAGGCCCACCAAGGCGACGAUCCGUAGCUGGUCUGAGAGGAUGAUCAGCCACACUGGAACUGAGGAACGGUCCAGCCGCCUACGGGAGGCAGCAGUGGGGAAUAUUGGACAAUGGGCGCAAGCCUGAUCCAGCCAUACCGCGUGGGUGAAGAAGGCCUUCGGGUUGGAAAGCCAUUUUGUUGGGAAAGAAAAGCAGCAGGUUAAGACCACGCUGUUCGGACGGUACCCAAAGAAUAAGCACCGGCUAACUUCGU